AUGAAUCUAAGUGAUAGUGGCUGUUUUUUCUGCUUCUCUUUUAAAUUGCAAUCAGUUGCCAGCUUUGAUAUUCUUCCUGAACUGGUUGCUGGUAGUUUUUAUUUUCUCCCUCAUUUUCAUUCCAUGUGUAAGAGGGCAGAUACAUGCGCAUUUUCUUACCAUACUGCGAUUUUUGGUCUCCCUUUUCUACUGCUGUUAUGCUCAUUUCCUCUGUUCUUAUACUUAUCUCUACUAAUACUUUCACAUGUACAAAACUGUCUAUAG